UGAAAGAUAGGCUAUGUUUAAGCCAAUAGGUUCAUACCCUUUUGAAAAGUUUUAAUAACUUUCUUUCGA
rnacentral:tRNA from 1 species